GCAGGUCUGACCCAUGUUGUGCUGUGGGUCUGAGCCCCAUUUCAAUGCAGGUCUGACCCAUGUUGUGCUGUGGGUCUGACCCAUAUUUUGAUACAGGUCUGACCCAUGUUGUGCUGUGGGUCUGACCCAUAUUUUGAUACAG